UACGUAGGGGGCGAGUGUUGUCCGGAUUUACUGGGCGUAAAGGGUGAGUAGGCGGUUGUAUAUGUCAGGUGUAAAAGGCUAUGGCUUAACCAUGGUUAGCACUUGAAACUGUACAACUUGAGUGCAGGAGAGGUAAGUGGAAUUCCUAGUGUAGCGGUGAAAUGCGUAGAUAUUAGGAGGAACACCAGUGGCGAAGGCGACUUACUUGACUGUAACUGACGCUGAGUCACGAAAGCGUGGGUAGCAAACAGGAUUAGAUACCCUGGUAGUCCCU
rnacentral:rRNA from 1 species